AGAGUUUGAUCAUGGCUCAGGACGAACGCUGGCGGCGUGCGUAACACAUGCAAGUCGAGCGAGAGACUUCGGUCUCUAGCGGCGGACGGGUGAGUAACACGUGGGUAACCUGCCUCAUAGAGGGGGAUAGCCUCCCGAAAGGGAGAUUAAUACCGCAUAUACUCUCGGUGUCGCAUGACACUUAGAGGAAAGGAGCAAUCCGCUAUGAGAUGGACCCGCGGCGCAUUAGCUAGUUGGUGAGGUAACGGCUCACCAAGGCCACGAUGCGUAGCCGACCUGAGAGGGUGAUCGGCCACAUUGGAACUGAGACACGGUCCAGACUCCUACGGGAGGCAGCAGUGGGGAAUAUUGCACAAUGGGCGAAAGCCUGAUGCAGCAACGCCGCGUGAGUGAUGAAGGCCUUCGGGUUGUAAAGCUCUGUCUUUUGGGACGAUAAUGACGGUACCAAAGGAGGAAGCCACGGCUAACUACGUGCCAGCAGCCGCGGUAAUACGUAGGUGGCAAGCGUUGUCCGGAUUUACUGGGCGUAAAGGAUGCGUAGGUGGAUAUUUAAGUGGGAUGUGAAAUACCCGGGCUCAACUUGGGUGCUGCAUUCCAAACUGGAUAUCUAGAGUGCAGGAGAGGUAAGUGGAAUUCCUAGUGUAGCGGUGAAAUGCGUAGAGAUUAGGAAGAACACCAGUGGCGAAGGCGACUUACUGGACUGUAACUGACACUGAGGCAUGAAAGCGUGGGGAGCAAACAGGAUUAGAUACCCUGGUAGUCCACGCCGUAAACGAUGGGUACUAGGUGUAGGAGGGUCCAACCUUCUGUGCCGCCGUUAACACAAUAAGUACCCCGCCUGGGGAGUACGGUCGCAAGAUUAAAACUCAAAGGAAUUGACGG
rnacentral:rRNA from 1 species